GAUGAACGCUAGCUACAGGCUUAACACAUGCAAGUCGAGGGGCAGCGGUAUCGAAAGCUUGCUUUCGGUAGCCGGCGACCGGCGCACGGGUGAGUAACGCGUAUCGAACCUGCCUCAUACUCGGGAAUAGCCUUGCGAAAGUAAGAUUAAUGCCCGGUGUUUUCAGAGUCCCGCAUGGGGCUUUGAACAAAGAUUUAUCGGUAUGAGAUGGCGAUGCGUCCCAUUAGCUUGUUGGCGGGGUAACGGCCCACCAAGGCAUCGAUGGGUAGGGGUUCUGAGAGGAAGGUCCCCCACAUUGGAACUGAGACACGGUCCAAACUCCUACGGGAGGCAGCAGUGAGGAAUAUUGGUCAAUGGGCGGAAGCCUGAACCAGCCAAGUAGCGUGCAGGAAGACGGCCCUCCGGGUUGUAAACUGCUUUUAGUUGGGAAUAAAACGGGGCUCGUGAGCCCCCUUGCAUGUACCAUCAGAAAAAGGACCGGCUAAUUCCGUG
rnacentral:rRNA from 1 species